CCAGGCCCUGACAUGGGCCAGACAUCAACUUUUAUUGCAAAAUGGGGACCUUCAAGUCACAAGGACGUCAGAACUGGCCUCUUCCCUGACACCGGGGAGUUGGAAUCUGGCCCGGGCUGGGUCAUCUAGCCCCUUUCACCGGGUCCAAAUGGGACGUGGGGAGGCGAGCAGGAAGGCCUCCACAACGUCGCCUGCGGGCCCUGCAGUGUCCAGGCUCCCCUUGCGUCGCUGCACCUGCUGGAUGGCGAAGGUGGCCAGGAUGCUCAAGUGACUGAGGAGCCGUGUGUGGGGACCCGGCAGGUGCUGCAGGAGUCGGGAGAACAUCUCGCACCGGGCCUCGGCCUGGAUCAGCUGCUCGCCUUCCGGCUUCCCCAUGCCCAGGUCCCGCAGCGCCAGCGUGGUGAAUCUCCUCAGCUCUCUCCAUCGCUCGCCAUUGGAGAAGAAAACCCCUGCACCGAAGGUCUCAUUGCAAUGGUCCCCUCCUCCGAGAAGCCUUCCUUAUUUCCUCCCAGUCUCCCUCCCUUCCCCGAACCUGGGGCUUGGCCAGUUCCUCUGUGCCCUGCUGUCAGAGCUGAAGGCAGGUUUCAGAAUCCCAUUUUCUCCCUCAGUCUCAUGACAAGCCCACCUCUCCUAUGGUGAGACAGGAUGUCACAUCUGGCUUGGACACCUCUGUGUCCCCAGUCCCCACUCCAGGGCCAGGCAUGACAGAGAUUUGUCAAUUUAAUGAAUGAACGAUGCUUCUUCUCUCA